rnacentral:rRNA from 1 species
UACGUAGGGUGCAAGCGUUAAUCGGAAUUACUGGGCGUAAAGCGUGCGUAGACGGUUACGUAAGUCGGGUGUGAAAGCCCCGGGCUCAACCUGGGAAUUGCAUUCGAGACUGCAUAGCUAGGGUGCGGAAGAGGGAAGCGGAAUUUCCGGUGUAGCGGUGAAAUGCGUAGAUAUCGGAAGGAACACCAGUGGCGAAAGCGGCUUCCUGGUCCAGCACCGGCGUUCAGGCACGAAAGCGUGGGGAGCAAACAGG